rnacentral:tRNA from 1 species
GGAGGCUUGGCAGAGUGGUCGAUUGCGGCGGUCUUGAAAACCGUUGACCCUUCGCGGGGUCCGUGGGUUCGAAUCCCACAGCCUCCG